GUGCACGCUGGCGGCGUGCCUAAUACAUGCAAGUCGCACGGUAACAGGAAGUAGCUUGCUACUUUGCUGAUUAGUGGCGCACGGGUGAGUAAUGCAUAGGUCAUGUGCCCCAUAGUCUGGGAUAGCCACUGGAAACGGUGAUUAAUACUGGAUACUCCCGAGAGGGGAAAGUUUUUCGCUAUGGGAUCAGCCUAUGUCCUAUCAGCUUGUUGGUGAGGUAAUGGCUCACCAAGGCUAUGACGGGUAUCCGGCCUGAGAGGGUGAACGGACACACUGGAACUGAGACACGGUCCAGACUCCUACGGGAGGCAGCAGUAGGGAAUAUUGCUCAAUGGGGGAAACCCUGAAGCAGCAACGCCGCGUGGAGGAUGAAGGUCUUCGGAUUGUAAACUCCUUUUCUAAGAGAAGAUUAUGACGGUAGCUUAGGAAUAAGCACCGGCUAACUCCGUG
rnacentral:rRNA from 1 species